AAGGAUAAGGUUCUAAGAAGGUUCACAAGGAUGUCCCUCUUAAUCCCCUCCUGUUCUUUGUGAAAGGUGAUCUUGCAAUCACCCAAUCAAACAUGGAUCAGGGAAUGAAAAAGACCUCUAGAAAAAGAGAAGAAAGCCAGCCCUUCUUCCAUUCAGCCACAAUGACAGACAAUAGUGGGGUCCUGCUUUCUAACAAGAAUACUCCUAAGAUGCACCAGCUCUAGAGAUACUUGUCAAGGCUGCCAUGUUCACCUCGCAGUUUAGUAAGGGGAAGAAUGGAAAAUAGUUUAGAAUGCCUUAUGCUAUAAAAACAUCUUCGAUUAGUCAUGACCUGUAACAACAGCACAUAAAGAUUGAUGGUGUUGCUCUCAUUUUCAGAUGAGAACAACAGACUCAGAAAGGUUAAGAAACUUAUCCGAGGUAACCAAACUGCAAGAAAAAAAGGCUUACAGAAGAGUUUGGAAAAAAGGCCUCAGUUUCAUCUGUUUUCAAUCUCUGUUUAAGGAGAUGCUAAGGAUGUGUUUCAUAAUAAGAAUUCAAGUGACAAGGAGUCAAGUCUGUAACAACUGUGUUUAGCUGUGAGAAAAAAUCCAGAAGAAAUGCCCAUUUCCCAUUCUUCAGUAAAUUGUAUGGGAGUACAGAAAACAGAUAAACAAUAUCAACUUAAGCAACGUAUGUUUGAGUAUAUAAUAAUACUGGAAAAAUUAAGCUUGAAAUAAAAAGAAACAGAAGCAGAGAAA